GGAUGUGAGGGCGAUCUGGCUGCGACAUGUCACCCCAUUGAUCACCAGGGUUGAUUCGGCUGAUCUGGCUGGCUAGGCAGGUGUCCCCUUCCUCCCUCACUGCUCCAUGUGCGUCCCUCCUGAAGCUGUGCGCUCGGUCGAAGAGGACAGCCUUCCCCGAAUAGAGAUGGACCGGUCUUCGGUCGAGGGUAUACGAGUAGCUGCGCUCCCCUGCUAGAACCUCCAAACAAGCUCUUAAGAAAUUAAGAUGAAUACUCUUCCAAGGAAUGCCACUUCUUAUAACUGAACAUCUGGUACCUACACUACUCCAGUUCUUCUUCUUCUAGUGUUUGCCACU
rnacentral:snRNA from 1 species